UUUUCUUUUUUUUUUUUUUUGUCCUUUUUUUUUCCUUCCUUUUUGCUUUUUUGCCCUCUCCUCGGAUCUGUUCCAACCUCUCCGGACUAAGGACCUGGGGAAGCACCGGGGGCCUCCACAGGGGAUCCACCCCACCAAGACCAGUCCUGCACAUCUCCUUUUCUCCCAACGUCAGCGGAGACAGAGCGGUGGAGCACAGUGACGAUCCUCAAGAGGAGACUUUCUUUAAGUUUGUUAUCCCUCCGUAAGCGGCACGAAGCUCUUGUCAUCAGGACCAUGAAUUGAAAUUGUUCUUUAUAGCUGUUUCCUUCAAAGCAUUUCUCUGUCACCACAAGGGAUUCCAUUCCAUGGCAAUGCAUAGGCUUUCGCAGAAGUGAAGAUGCUGCUGAUGCUUAAAAAUUUUAGCUUGUCCUGGGGCCUAUGUUUCUGCUGACCAAGAAAGAAGCAACCACAGACACACCAGCAGAGAGUUUGAUGUUUCUCUUUUAUCUGUCUUCCCACUUAUCUUUCUGUAGUAAUUGUCAAUAUAAUGCUGUUGCAAAAUAUUUUUCCACGAGGCAUUAAUUUUUGCAGGGGAGGGGUAUAAGAGGUGUCCUACUUUUUGUUUGUUUGUUUUUUCUGCAUGCUUAAUGAAUCGUAAAUAAUUUUAAUUAAA